rnacentral:rRNA from 1 species
AUUGAACGCUAGCGGGAUGCCUUACACAUGCAAGUCGAACGGAGUGGCGAACGGGUGAGUAAUGUAUCGGAACGUGCCCCGUAGCGGGGGAUAACUACGCGAAAGCGUAGCUAAUACCGCAUACCAUUGGCGCGGCCGAUAUCGGAUUAGCUAGUUGGUGGGGUCACGGCUCACCAAGGCGAAGCUCCGUAGCGGGUGUGAGAGUACGACCAGCCACCAUGGGGCUGGGACACGGCCCAGACUCCGACGGAAGGCAGCAGUGGGGAAUUUUGGACAAUGGGGGAAACCCUGAUCCAGCCAUCCCGCGUGUGCGAUGAAGGCCUUCGGGUUGUAAAGCACUUUUGGCAGGAAAGCGGUACCUGCAGUAUAAGCACCGGCUAACUACGUGCCAGCAGCCGCGGUAAUUC